CCUACGGGUGGCAGCAGUGGGGAAUAUUGCACAAUGGGCGAAAGCCUGAUGCAGCAACGCCGCGUGAGCGAUGAAGGCCUUCGGGUCGUAAAGCUCUGUCCUCAAGGAAGAUAAUGACGGUACUUGAGGAGGAAGCCCCGGCUAACUACGUGCCAGCAGCCGCGGUAAUACGUAGGGGGCUAGCGUUAUCCGGAAUUACUGGGCGUAAAGGGUGCGUAGGUGGUUUCUUAAGUCAGAGGUGAAAGGCUACGGCUCAACCGUAGUAAGCCUUUGAAACUGGGGAACUUGAGUGCAGGAGAGGAGAGUGGAAUUCCUAGUGUAGCGGUGAAAUGCGUAGAUAUUAGGAGGAACAUCGGUGGCGAAAGCGCUUUACUGGACCAUUAUUGACGCUGAGGAACGAAAGCCAGGGGAGCAAAUGGGAUUAGAUACCCGAGUAGUC
rnacentral:rRNA from 1 species